UGGGGAAUAUUUCACAAUGGGCGCAAGCCUGAUGCAGCCAUGCCGCGUGUAUGAAGAAGGCCUUCGGGUUGUAAAGUACUUUCAGCGGGGAGGAAGGGAGUAAAGUUAAUACCUUUGCUCAUUGACGUUACCCACAGAAGAAGCACCGGCUAACUCCGUGCCAGCAGCCGCGGUAAUACGGAGGGUGCAAGCGUUAAUCGGAAUUACUGGGCGUAAAGCGCACGCAGGCGGUUUGUUAAGUCAGAUGUGAAAUCCCCGGGCUCAACCUGGGAACUGCAUCUGAUACUGGCAAGCUUGAGUCUCGUAGAGGGGGGUAGAAUUCCAGGUGUAGCGGUGAAAUGCGUAGAGAUCUGGAGGAAUACCGGUGGCGAAGGCGGCCCCCUGGACGAAGACUGACGCUCAGGUGCGAAAGCGUGGGGAGCAAACAGG
rnacentral:rRNA from 1 species